CCUGGCGGCGAUAGCGCGGUGGUCCCACCUGACCCCAUGCCGAACUCAGAAGUGAAACGCCGU
rnacentral:rRNA from 2 species